AUGGUUACUGAAACAAAAGCGAGAAUGGGUCAAGUCCGUCCCACCCUGACGGUGCUGCCCCCCUCUAGUGAGGAGAUAAAGAAGGGCCAUGCCACACUUACAUGUCUGGCCAACAAGGGCUUCCCCUCAGACUGGAGUCUGUCCUGGAAGGUGGACGGCAGCAGCAGCAGCAGCUAUGAGGAGAGCAGGAGCCCCGGGGUGCUGCAGAAGGACGGCCACUACAGCUGGAGCAGCACCCUGAGGGUCCCUGCAGACCAGUGGAGGAAGGUGGGCUCUGUGACCUGUGAGGCCACCCAGGGCUCCCAGACUCCACUCUCAGAGACACUGAGGAGAGACCAGUGUUCCCAGUACUGACAAGACUCAUAGGGACUCUCAUUCUGGUUUUCUUCUGUUACUUUCUCUCUUUUUUUUCUUCUGUUUUU